rnacentral:rRNA from 1 species
UUUUCCGCAAUGGGCGAAAGCCUGACGGAGCAAUGCCGCGUGGAGGUGGAAGGCCUACGGGUCGUCAACUUCUUUUCUCGGAGAAGAAACAAUGACGGUAUCUGAGGAAUAAGCAUCUGCUAACUCUGUUCCUGCAGCCGCGGUAAGACAGAGGAUGCAAGCGUUAUCCGGAAUGAUUGGGCGUAAAGCGUCUGUAGGUGGCUUUUCAAGUCCGCCGUCAAAUCCCAGGGCUCAACCCUGGACAGGCGGUGGAAACUACCAAGCUGGAGUACGGUAGGGGCGGAGGGAAUUUCCGGUGGAGCGGUGAAAUGCAUUGAGAUCGGAAAGAACACCAACGGCGAAAGCACUCUGCUGGGCCGACACUGACACUGAGAGACGAAAGCUAGGGGAGCAAAUGGGAUUAGAU